GAUGUACGGGACUGACGAUUUUGAAAUUACCGCGCAACUCCGAAUGACGUAAAUAAAUCCUAUGUCGUUCGCAUCUCCAAUUUGAUUCUGAGUGUAUGUUAGAUAAUAUCUACAAUGCAAUUAAUUCUAUAGAUAUAUUUUACAUAAACUAUGACAAAAAUAUUAUUAUAUUCGAAAUAAAAACAAAUCGCGUAAAUUUUACGACUUUAAUUACUUUUCGGCAAUGUAAACAUAGUGAGACUUUUGAAACAUUGAAAUGCGGGGGAAACGCGGAUUUCAGUCAGCUAAAGCGAUCCAGCGUUACAUCAAGGUUUUUUGACCCACAGAAGACGAUGGAAAGCUGCCUCACCAAGACACCAGACGCUGGAUCAUCUAUAUUUGCAAUCGCAGACGCAAGACAUGUGUUCAGGUUUUGAAUAUAAUGUCUCUAGUAUGGAUAUGUUUGACGAUUGUUACCAUGGAAACGAACUCACAGACCAACAUGUAUGUCAAAACAGGUUUUGAACAUGAUGUCUCCAGCAAGGAUAUGUUUGAUGACGGUUACCAUGGAAACGAACUCACGGACCUAUGUCAAAAAUGUCUUUUUCUGAUAAAAUAAAUAUAAUGCUAUCCAUUUCA